rnacentral:rRNA from 1 species
UUAAGUGACUAAGCGUACACGGUGGAUGCCUUGGCAGUCAGAGGCGAUGAAAGACGUAGUAACUUGCGAUAAGCCCAGAUUAGGUAGUAACAACCAUUUGAGUCUGGGAUUUCUGAAUGGGGAAACCCACGUGCAUAAGCACGUAUCCUUACCUGAAUACAUAGGGUAAGGAGGCGAACCGGGGGAACUGAAACAUCUAAGUACCCCGAGGAAAAGAAAUCAACCGAGAUUCCGAAAGUAGCGGCGAGCGAAAUUGGACUAGCCCUUAAGCUUUACACGCGUUAGACGAACGGUCUGGAAAGUCCGACGAUACAGGGUGAUAGUCCCGUAGUUGACGACGUGUGUUCAGUGAAAUCGAGUAGGGCGGGACACGUGAUAUCCUGUCUGAAUAUGGGGGGACCAUCCUCCAAGGCUAAAUACUACUGACUGACCGAUAGUGAACCAGUACCGUGAGGGAAAGGCGAAAAGAACCCCUGUGAGGGGAGUGAAAUAGAACCUGAAACCGUGUACGUACAAGCAGUAGGAGCAGGCUUUGUCCUGUGACUGCGUACCUUUUGUAUAAUGGGUCAGCGACUUAUAUUCAGUGGCAAGGUUAACCAUCUAGGGGAGCCGUAGGGAAACCGAGUCUUAACUGGGCGUUCAGUCUCUGGAUAUAGACCCGAAACCAGGUGAUCUAGCCAUGGGCAGGUUGAAGGUUGAGUAACAUCAACUGGAGGACCGAACCGACUAAUGUUGAAAAAUUAGCGGAUGACUUGUGGCUAGGGGUGAAAGGCCAAUCAAACCUGGAGAUAGCUGGUUCUCCCCGAAAGCUAUUUAGGUAGCGCCUCGGACGAAUACUACUGGGGGUAGAGCACUGUUAAGGCUAGGGGGUCAUCCCGACUUACCAACCCUUUGCAAACUCCGAAUACCAGUAAGUACUAUCCGGGAGACACACGGCGGGUGCUAACGUCCGUCGUGGAGAGGGAAACAACCCAGACCGCCAGCUAAGGUCCCAAAUUACUACUAAGUGGGAAACGAUGUGGGAAGGCUCAGACAGCCAGGAUGUUGGCUUAGAAGCAGCCAUCAUUUAAAGAAAGCGUAAUAGCUCACUGGUCGAGUCGGCCUGCGCGGAAGAUGUAACGGGGCUAAGUAGUAAACCGAAGCUGCGGCAAUGUGCUUUUGCACAUUGGGUAGGGGAGCGUUCUGUAAGCGGUUGAAGGUGUGUGGUAACGCAUGCUGGACGUAUCAGAAGUGCGAAUGCUGACAUGAGUAACGAUAAAGGGGGUGAAAAACCUCCUCGCCGGAAGACCAAGGGUUCCUGUCCAACGUUAAUCGGGGCAGGGUAAGUCGACCCCUAAGGCGAGGCCGAAAGGCGUAGUCGAUGGGAAACGGGUUAAUAUUCCCGUACUUCUUACAAUUGCGAUGGGGGGACGGAGAAGGCUAGGUGGGCCUGGCGACGGUCGUCCAGGUUCAAGUGCGUAGGCUUAAGAGUUAGGUAAAUCCGGCUCUUUUUAAGGCUGAGACACGACGUCGAGCACCUACGGGUGUGAAGUCAUUGAUGCCAUGCUUCCAGGAAAAGCCUCUAAGCUUCAGAUUGUAAGGAAUCGUACCCCAAACCGACACAGGUGGUCGGGUAGAGAAUACCAAGGCGCUUGAGAGAACUCGGGUGAAGGAACUAGGCAAAAUGGUACCGUAACUUCGGGAGAAGGUACGCUCUUGAUGGUGAAGUCCCUUGCGGAUGGAGCUGACGAGAGUCGCAGAUACCAGGUGGCUGCAACUGUUUAUUAAAAACACAGCACUGUGCAAAAUCGUAAGAUGACGUAUACGGUGUGACGCCUGCCCGGUGCCGGAAGGUUAAUUGAUGGGGUUAGACUUCGGUCGAAGCUCUUGAUCGAAGCCCCGGUAAACGGCGGCCGUAACUAUAACGGUCCUAAGGUAGCGAAAUUCCUUGUCGGGUAAGUUCCGACCUGCACGAAUGGCGUAAUGAUGGCCACGCUGUCUCCACCCGAGACUCAGUGAAAUUGAAAUCGCUGUGAAGAUGCAGUGUACCCGCGGCUAGACGGAAAGACCCCGUGAACCUUUACUACAGCUUGGCACUGAACAUUGACCCUACAUGUGUAGGAUAGGUGGGAGGCUUUGAAGCACGUACGCCAGUAUGUGUGGAGCCGUCCUUGAAAUACCACCCUUGUAGUGUUGAUGUUCUAACGUCGACCCCUUAUCGGGGUUGCGGACAGUGCCUGGUGGGUAGUUUGACUGGGGCGGUCUCCUCCCAAAGAGUAACGGAGGAGCACGAAGGUGGGCUAAUCACGGUUGGACAUCGUGAGGUUAGUGCAAUGGCAUAAGCCCGCUUGACUGCGAGAAUGACAAUUCGAGCAGGUGCGAAAGCAGGUCAUAGUGAUCCGGUGGUUCUGAAUGGAAGGGCCAUCGCUCAACGGAUAAAAGGUACUCCGGGGAUAACAGGCUGAUACCGCCCAAGAGUUCAUAUCGACGGCGGUGUUUGGCACCUCGAUGUCGGCUCAUCACAUCCUGGGGCUGAAGUCGGUCCCAAGGGUAUGGCUGUUCGCCAUUUAAAGUGGUACGCGAGCUGGGUUUAGAACGUCGUGAGACAGUUCGGUCCCUAUCUGCCGUGGGCGUUGGAAGAUUGAAGGGGGCUGCUCCUAGUACGAGAGGACCGGAGUGGACGAACCUCUGGUGUUCGGGUUGUGUCGCCAGACGCAUUGCCCGGUAGCUAAGUUCGGAAUCGAUAACCGCUGAAAGCAUCUAAGCGGGAAGCGAGCCCUGAGAUGAGUCUUCCCUGAUACUUUAAGUAUCCUAAAGGGUUGUCGGAGACUACGACGUUGAUAGGUCAGGUGUGUAAGUGCUGUGAGGCAUUGAGCUAACUGAUACUAAUUGCCCGUGAGGCUUAACCA